UCAAUAGCCUAACGGCUGAACCAGCAACUUGGAGGAAUGUAUAGCAAUUGCUAAUUUCACUAAAAAUUUUAGUGUAAAAUCAACAUUUUUGAAUAAAAUUCUGGGUAGAUUUAUGAUAAUGACAUUAUCUAUUUAUAGGUCUUGACCAAAUUACGUGCCAGCAGUCGCGGUAAUACGUAGAAGACAAGUGUUAUUCAUCUUUAAUAGGUUUAAAGGGUACUUAGACGGUAAAUCAAGCCUUAAAAGGGGACUAAUUUACUAGAGUUUUAUGUGAGAAAGUAUUAAAGUACUGCUGGUGUAGAGAUGAAAUUCUGUCAUACCUUAAAUGGCACAGGUUAAGGCGAAAGCAUCUUUUUAUGUAAAAACUGACGUUGAAGGACGAAGGCUUUGUGUCUCGAACAGGAUUAGAUACCCUAGUAGUCUAAGCAGACAAUGAUGAAUGUCAUAGAUUAGAUAUUAUUUGAUCUAUAAAUGAAAGUGUAAGCAUUCCACCUCAAGAGUAAUUUGGCAACAUUGGAACUGAAAUCAUUAGACCGUUUCUGAAACCAGUAGUGAAGUAUGUUGUUUAAUUUGAUAAUCCGCAAAAAACCUUACCACAAUUUGAAUAGAUAUAUUUUAUCAUACAAGCGUUGCACGGCUGUCUUCAGUUAAUGUCGUGAGAUUUUGGUUAGUUCCAUAAAAUUAACGUAAACCCUUACUUUAUUUUUAAAUAAAGUAGCUCACCACUAUAUUGGAUGUGAUAACAGGGAUCAAGACAAGUCAUCAUGACCUAAAUAUUGUGGGCUAUAGACGUGCCACAUUUGCCUUACAAAGAGAUGCUAAAUUGUGAAAUUGAGCUAUAUCAG
rnacentral:rRNA from 1 species